UGGCAGCAGGACACUGAAGAUGUCAGAUGGACUCCUGACAGCUCCUGCAUGUCCACAGACAAGUCACACAGUAUGGGCCUCUGAUGGAAGAUGGAACGGAUGAGGUGCUGGAUGAACAUCAUGCUCAGGACACUGAAGAUGUCAGAUGGACUCCUGACUGCUCCUGCAUGUCCACAGACAAGUCACACAGUAUGGGCCUCUGAUGGAAGAUGGAACGGAUGAGGUGCUGGAUGAACAUCAUGCUGGGUUAUAACCUAAAACAAUACCAGCACAAGGCAGAUAAGGUGCGGGGACAUCAGAGGCGUCGCAAUCACGUUAGCCUACGGUCGGAAUGGCGG